rnacentral:rRNA from 1 species
UAAUCCAGCCGCAGGUUCCCCUACGGCUACCUUGUUACGACUUCACACCAAUUACUCGGCUUAGAUUCGGCUUGAAUUCCAAGAAACUUACAUGUGACUUUUUGUACAAAAGUCAUUCUAAAAUUCGUGGAGCUCCGAAGACUUCCUCUACUCCGAAUUUUCAGUGUGUGACGGGCGGGGAGUACAAGGCUCAGGUACAAAUUCACCGUGGCGUGCUGAUCCACGAUUACUAGUGAUUCCGACUUCAUGUUCUCGAGUUGCAGAGAACAAUCUGAACUGGGGUGAGUUUUUUGAGAUUUGCUCCGACUCUCAUCAUUGCUCCUCUUUGUACUCACCAUUGUAACACGUGUGUAGCCCAGCCCAUAAGGGUCAUGAGGACUUGACGUGAUCCCUCCCUACCUCUAGUUUAUCACCAGCUGUAUAUCCAUUUAAAAAGUGAACCAAAGUCACUUUUUGAAUGAACAGAGGGGUUUCGUUCGUUAAGGAAAUUAAUCCAACAUUUCAAAACACGAACUGACGACAGCCAUGCAACACCUGUAAUCUUCACUCAACCACUGUUGGUUGAUUAUCUCAAAAUAAAGAGAGAUUGUGAAAAGAUUAUGUCAAGGACUGGUAAGGUUUUGCGCGUUGUUUCGAAUUAAACCACAUGUUCCACCACUUGUGUGAGCCCCCGUCUAUUCCUUUGAGUUUUAGUCUUGCGACCGUACUCCUCAGGCGGACCUUUUAACGCGUUAGCUAAUACAGACGUAAAAACUCACACGGGGACACACUCCCAAAGAAGUGUGACCACAACGAAAAACAGGAUGUUGGUCGUUGUUGCUCCAUGAAAGCUUGAAUAUCCAUAGAAAGGUCAUCGUUGACGGCGUGGACUACAGGGGUAUCUAAUCCCUUUUGAUCCCCACGCUGUCGCACCUCAACGUCAGUGAAGCCCCAGAGAAUUGCCUUCGCUUUUGGUGUUCCUCCUGAUAUCAACAAAUUUUACCUCUACGCCAGGAAUUCCAUUCUCCUCUAACUUACUCAAGUUUAGGAAUCAUAGAAAGAAGUGUCAAAGUAAAGCUUUGAAGUUUUUCUUUCCGAUUUUCUAAACAGUCUACGUGCGCUUUACGCCCAAUCAUUCCGAAUAACGCUUGCCCCUCUCGUAUUACCGCGGCUGCUGGCACGAAAUUAGCCGGGACUUUUUGCUUAAACUCUGUCAUAAUCUCUGUUUAAGUAAAGGGCUUUACAACCAAAACAGUCUUCUUCACCCACGCGAUCUAGCUGGAUCAGGCUUUCGCCCAUUGUCCAAGAUUCCUCACUGCUGCCGCUCGAAAGCGUCUGGGCCGUGUCUCAGUCCCAGUGUGGCUGAUCAUCCUCUCAAAUCAGCUAAGGAUCUUUGGCUUGGUAGGCUUUUACCCUACCAACUACCUAAUCCUACGCAAGCUCAUCUCGCAACGUCUUUGAACUUUCAUUUACUUUCUAAAAUUGAGAAUUCUAGAAAGGAGACUUAUCCAAGAUUCAGAAAAUGAAUUCUUUGCUUGGUUUACGAGGUAGAUUCUUACGCGUUACUCACCCGUUCGCUACUCUGAUUCACCUAAAAGGAAAAUCAGCGUUCAACUUGCAUGUGUUAAGCUUAUCGCUAGCGUUCAUUCUGAGCCAGGAUCAAACUCA